rfam:Triticum aestivum genome assembly, contig: Triticum_aestivum_CS42_TGACv1_scaffold_146503_2BS
AUACCUUUCUCGAUCUGUUGGCUAAGAUCAGUGUAGUAUCUGUUCUUAUCAGUUUAAUAUUUGAUACCUGAAUCUUUGGAUCCACAUGAUAUUAAUUUUUUUUAUGGGAAGAAUCUAUCUAUGUAGCUUGCUAAAUGGAUGGUUCUUAUGCGUCGUUCAAGCGUUGCACUGCUGCUUGGAACAGCCACACCCCCC